GAUUAUGGCUCAGGAUGAACGCUGGCGGCGCGCCUAACACAUGCAAGUCGAACGGCACCCCUCUCCGGAGGGAAGCGAGUGGCGAACGGCUGAGUAACACGUGGAGAACCUGCCCCCUCCCCCCGGGAUAGCCGCCCGAAAGGACGGGUAAUACCGGAUACCCCGGGGUGCCGCAUGGCACCCCGGCUAAAGCCCCGACGGGAGGGGAUGGCUCCGCGGCCCAUCAGGUAGACGGCGGGGUGACGGCCCACCGUGCCGACAACGGGUAGCCGGGUUGAGAG
rnacentral:rRNA from 1 species